rnacentral:sRNA from 1 species
CAAAGUCAAAAUUGUACUUUUUUAUGUCUCCACCCAUUCCCAAUCAAAAUUGAAAAAUAGUCAUUUUAAAAUAUUAGGCUUCAAAAAUUUCAUAUAGAUCGGACUAUACGCUCCGAAGUUAAUCAAGCAUGCAUUUCUUUUGGUGUGGGUCUUAGGCGGGCGGUCGCUCAAGACGACACUUAAUUAUGUUUUGCGUUUGCAGCGGCAGGACCAAGUUUCUCCAAGUGCAAGAAAAAUUGCUGGAAAAUGUCAAAAUGAUUUCCGCCCGUUGUUCAAAGCUGGGCAUCAUAAAUUAUUGAAAUUGCCCGUCUGUCAUAGCCAUAGUUGCCUGUUUCACUCUAUUGUGUUUGAGUUUUCUGCAAUGCUUAAGCUUUAUUUCUCUUU